rnacentral:rRNA from 1 species
AUUGAACGCUGGCGGCAGGCUUAACACAUGCAAGUCGAACGAUGAUUAUCUAGCUUGCUAGAUAUGAUUAGUGGCGGACGGGUGAGUAACAUUUAGGAAUCUGCCUAGUAGUGGGGGAUAGCUCGGGGAAACUCGAAUUAAUACCGCAUACGACCUACGGGUGAAAGGGGGCGCAAGCUCUUGCUAUUAGAUGAGCCUAAAUCAGAUUAGCUAGUUGGUGGGGUAAAGGCCCACCAAGGCGACGAUCUGUAACUGGUCUGAGAGGAUGAUCAGUCACACCGGAACUGAGACACGGUCCGGACUCCUACGGGAGGCAGCAGUGGGGAAUAUUGGACAAUGGGGGCAACCCUGAUCCAGCCAUGCCGCGUGUGUGAAGAAGGCCUUUUGGUUGUAAAGCACUUUAAGCAGGGAGGAGAGGCUAAUGGUUAAUACCCAUUAGAUUAGACGUUACCUGCAGAAUAAGCACCGGCUAACUCUGUGCCAGCAGCCGCGGUAAUACAGAGGGUGCGAGCGUUAAUCGGAAUUACUGGGCGUAAAGCGAGUGUAGGUGGCUCAUUAGGUCACAUGUGAAAUCCCCGGGCUUAACCUGGGAACUGCAUGUGAUACUGGUGGUGCUAGAAUAUGUGAGAGGGAAGUAGAAUUCCAGGUGUAGCGGUGAAAUGCGUAGAGAUCUGGAGGAAUACCGAUGGCGAAGGCAGCUUCCUGGCAUAAUAUUGACACUGAGAUUCGAAAGCGUGGGUAGCAAACAGGAUUAGAUACCCUGGUAGUCCACGCCGUAAACGAUGUCUACUAGCCGUUGGGGUCCUUGAGACUUUAGUGGCGCAGUUAACGCGAUAAGUAGACCGCCUGGGGAGUACGGCCGCAAGGUUAAAACUCAAAUGAAUUGACGGGGGCCCGCACAAGCGGUGGAGCAUGUGGUUUAAUUCGAUGCAACGCGAAGAACCUUACCUGGUCUUGACAUAGUGAGAAUCCUGCAGAGAUGCGGGAGUGCCUUCGGGAAUUCACAUACAGGUGCUGCAUGGCUGUCGUCAGCUCGUGUCGUGAGAUGUUGGGUUAAGUCCCGCAACGAGCGCAACCCUUUUCCUUAUUUGCCAGCGGGUUAAGCCGGGAACUUUAAGGAUACUGCCAGUGACAAACUGGAGGAAGGCGGGGACGACGUCAAGUCAUCAUGGCCCUUACGACCAGGGCUACACACGUGCUACAAUGGUAGGUACAGAGGGUUGCUACACAGCGAUGUGAUGCUAAUCUCAAAAAGCCUAUCGUAGUCCGGAUUGGAGUCUGCAACUCGACUCCAUGAAGUCGGAAUCGCUAGUAAUCGCAGAUCAGAAUGCUGCGGUGAAUACGUUCCCGGGCCU